AUUGAACGCUGGCGGCAUGCCUUACACAUGCAAGUCGAACGGUAACAGGUCUUCGGAUGCUGACGAGUGGCGAACGGGUGAGUAAUACAUCGGAACGUGCCCGAGAGUGGGGGAUAACGAAGCGAAAGCUGUGCUAAUACCGCAUACGAUCUAUGGAUGAAAGCGGGGGACUCGCAAGGGCCUCGCGCGAUUGGAGCGGCCGAUAUCAGAUUAGGUAGUUGGGGGGGUAAAGGCUCACCAAGCCGACGAUCUGUAGCUGGUCUGAGAGGACGACCACCCACAAUGGAACUGAGACACGGUCCAGACUCCUACAGGAGGCAGCAGUGGGGAAUUUUGGACAAUGGGCGCAAGCCUGAUCCAGCAAUGCCGCGUGCAGGUUGAAGGCCUUCGGGUUGUAAACUGCUUUUGUACGGAACGAAGAGCUUCGGGCUAAUACCCUGGAGUCAUGACGGUACCGUAAGAAUAAGCACCGGCUAACUACGUGCCAGCCGCCGCCGUAACAC
rnacentral:rRNA from 1 species